rnacentral:tRNA from 1 species
GGAGAAUUGUCCGAGUGGCUGAAGGAGCACGCUUGGAAAGCGUGUAUACGGAUUACCCGUAUCGAGGGUUCGAAUCCCUCAUUCUCCG